GGGGAAGGAGGCACUGGACUGGCGAUCCAGUUGUGGAGAAAAUAGCAGAAAACAUCAGCUUUCUAGGGGUGGUCAAUGAUGCCCAAAAAAAAGACUUUACCCAAGCGGCUGUAAGAUAUUACACUUCCGUAGUGAAUCGUGCUCAAAUUGAAGAAUUCAAAGAAGGGCUCGAAACAUUUGGAAUUGCAACAUUGAUAAGAAAACAUCCAGAUGUGAUGAAGUUGCUUUUGUGUGGCCAGAAAAGAGCAACAAUACAGCAUGAUGAAGUAUAUGACAUGUUUGAGGCAGAGCUGUCAGAAGUGGGGUCAAAUCAAAGGGAUUUGGAGGAAGAGGCAAUGAUGCAUUUCAGGCUGUUUUUAAGCAGCUUGACAAACCUAAAUGCAGCAUGUUCCUUGGAGGAUCUACUGAGGUUCCUAACUGGAGCAAAACAGUUUCCCAUUGGUGAAUAUGAGAUUCAGCCAACUAUAGAAUUCAUUAGAGGUUCACAAUUCCCAACUGUAAGCACCUGUGGUCUUGUUUUGAGGCUGCCAAUCGGCUUGACAGAAGAACAAUUCAAAACUAAUUUUGAAUUUGCUGUCCGAAGCUGCCAUGACUUUUCCUUUGUUUAGUGUUACCAGUGUGACUGUUGACAUUGAUGUCCAGGACAGAGAGGGCCAUAUCCACAAUCUGUUUUAAAAAGACUACACUUAAAUGUUUAAGUAUAGAACCAUGUACAUUGUCAUUCCCCAUGACUUUUAGGCCACUCAUUGAAGCAAUGUAUUUGAUAAAGAAACAAUGUGCAUACUUUAGAUCCAGGAUAAAUCCACUUCAAUUCUGAAUGUUGUGAAAACCAGGCAGCUCAUAAAUGGCACUUUGAUAAUUAGCAGGAUAAAUAUAACAAUUAAAGUACUGUUUGUUUCAAAUGAGUGGAUUGGAAAGGUAUGUUUAGUAGCCUGACAUCAGAUCAUUAAUCCAAUCUGGUUGUUUUUUUCUUUUGUCAAAAUAGUUUAUAAUAAAUUCAUCCAGAAAGGCGCAUCUGAAGAAGUUUAAAACAAUCAGAAUUGGCCAGUGCUGUUUCAGCGAUAAUAAAAUUGAGGUCUCUAAUCAAAAGAUGUGUAAAGUGUGGCUGCAUGUGUUUUCAGGGCGGGUAUGGGUACAAGGUUUUUUUCUUUAACCUUGUUCACAAUUGUUAUGUCAUUUGUUCAACUGUAGUGUUGUGGAUGUUAACCUUACCAAUGUAAAAAGUUGUCAGUGUUAAUGGGGGUGGGGCAAUUGUACCUUUGCUCUAAAAUGAUGCUGUUGGGUAAGAACUUAAGAUUUGACCUGUGCUGAUUACUGUUACUACUUGGUUUUGUAAUAUUACUGUAGGUAGGGUAGACCAACAAUGGCAAUCUGUCUCCUGUAUCAACAGGAUAUAAUAUAUAUUAUUAUUUUAUUAUUAUUAUUUAUUUCUUAACAGACGCCCUUAUCCAGGGCGACUUACAAUUGUUACAAGAUAUCACAUUAUUUUCUACAUUCAAUUACAUUAUUUUUUACAUACAAUUACCCAUUUAUACAGCUGGGUUUUUACUGGAGCAAUCUGGGUAAAGUACCUUGCUCAAGGGUACAGCAGCAGUGUCCUCCACCGGGGAUUGAACCCACAACCCUCCGGUCAAGAGUCCAGAGCCCUAACCACUACUCCACACUGCUGUGUUAGUAGAUUCUGACAUUUGCUGUAAAUGUUCAUCUUAACAAAUGACUGCUUAAGGUCAUUUAAU